CAGUCUGGAGGGGCUCAUUCCCCCCUCCCACUUUGUGCUGCGCCCCAGGUCCCUGGGGGCGGAGCUUGAGGCAGAAAGGGGGCGUGUCCAUGAAUUGGAGGUGGAGCUGAAAGCACUGAAGGGGCGGAGCCAGCACCUGGGGGCGGAGCUUGAGGCAGAAAAGAGUCGGAGCCAUCGGCUGGAGGCGGAGCUUGAAGCAGAAAAGGGGCGGAGCCAACAGCUGGAGGCAGAACUUAAGACAGAAAGGGGGCGGAGCCAAGCACUGAGGGUGGAACUCGAUGCCCUGAGGGGGCGUGGCCAGCGAUUGGAGGCAGAGCUGGAUGCAGAAAAGGGGCGGAGCCAAAUCCUGGAGAUGGAGCUGGAGACCCUCAGGGGGCGGGGCCUCGGUCCAGAGGGGGCGGAGCCAAGCCCAGAGCAGGUGCUGCUGGGCCGCUGGCGCCAGAAGGUUUUCCAGCUGCUGCUGCAGGUGAGCCUGCAACGGGGCCAGGAGCUGCGGCUGCAGGGACAGGUGCGCUCUCUGGGUGCUGCAGUGGCCGCCGGGUCCCGCCAGGUGUCGCUGUUGGAGCUGCGGCUGCGCCGGGGGGAGCAGGAGAGACAGCGCUGGUGGCCUCGGGGCGGCUCCGGUGGCAGCGGAAACUGGAGGGGACAGCAGGGGACAGCAGCACGGUGGCCCCGGAGGUGACAUCGGAGGUGAGGGGGUGGCACCGAGGGGACACCAGGGGUGGCUCUGUCCCCAGGGUGUCACCCCCAUGUCCCCCCCAGGCCACCAAGGGUGGGGACAGGACCCAGCCACGCCCAGGCACAGGUGGGUGUGUCCCCAAUGUGUCCCCAAAUGUCCUCAAAUCUGUCCCCAAUGUCUCCAAACGUGUCUCAAAUGUGGCCCCAGUGUCCCCAAAUGUGUCCCUAUGUUCCCAAUGUCCCUAGUGUUCCCUCAGUGUCACCAAAUGUCCCCAGAUGUCUCCCAGUGUGUUCCCAAGUGUGUCCCCAGUGUCCCUAAAUAU
rnacentral:lncRNA from 1 species